GGCUCCUCCAGGUCCAUGCGGUCUGGGGGGACAAGCACAGGGGAGUGAGAGAGGAAGAGAUGGGGAAGACAGUGACAAGUGGCCCUGCCCUAUGGCCCUCCAGGCCCCAAACUUUGACCAUGAGCCCCACCCAGGACAUCUCCCCUGUUCCAAUCCCUUCCCCGCCUCUGGCAAGAGGUUUUCUCUGGUAAAUCACUCCUGCCCAGACCUCUAUGUCAGCACUGGUAUCGGGGGUCUCCUCAGCUCCCCCUGGCUCUUCCCCUCUUCUUGUCCUUUGUUGCAGGCUGCCGGGGAGUCUGUACUGGAGCUGAGGAGUCUGUGGAUGGGACCAAGGUCUCCCGCCAGAACCUUCCCUCAAAAAACUGAAGUUGGGGCAUUUCAAAGCAAAGGAGGCCCCACCCCAAGGGAUAUGGGACACUGCCUGUGGUCCUCAACCCCCAGUCAGCAUCUGAGGAGUGAUGGUAAGGGGUAAGGGCAGGAGCCUCAGACCUGAGGACUCGGACGGUAGCUGCCCUGGAUGUGGGCCCUGAAGGGGCACAGUCAUCUCAGGUUCUUGCCCUACGGGUCCCUCCUCGGGCUCCCUUGCCCACCACCCCACCUCACCCCCUGCCCAACCCUGCAUACUCUUACUCUCUGGCCACCUGCAGAGAUUCCCUCCUACAAACUGGGUCAGGUUGAGGGAACUGGGCUGUAAAGUGCUAGAGACAGUGAGGCAGCGUCAGUGAGGCUCCAGGACUGGAACUCCCAGGUCCCUGCCCCAGUCUCCCUGUUCUUCCUUUGUACCAUUCGGGCUCCCCUCAAGAAUACUCCAGAGGAGCCCCCGACCUUGGCUGGAGGGAGCCCGGACUCACACCCAAGGUUGCGGAUAUGAGAGGGAAUCCUGCACUGCGGUUCAAGGCAACUUCACAGACCCCUAUCCUAUCCAUUUGUCUCUCCAAACUGCUGGACCCAGACGGCCAGAAUCACUUGCCUCUGGACCUUUUCCUCGCCCUUCUGUUGUCCAAGCUGUGGCAUUCCACUAGGGAAGGAUCAGCGCGGACCAGAAAUCCUCCCCUCGGAUUCCCCAGGGAAAGCCUCAGGGGAGGCGGAUGGUGGACCUUCCCCGCAAGAGGGGACCCUAUCUGCCCUCACACUCCAGGCACAAACAUAGGAUAGAAGGCCCCUGGCUGAAGACUCUUCCCUCAAAGCUCUCCCCGACUACUCACCGCAGUGAAGGGUGGAUAAAGCCCAGCCCAACCCAGCCUGUCUAAAAUCUUCCCCAUUCCCUUCCCACAUCAGGGCUGACCCCCAAGUCGGGGCAGGAAGUCCCCCUCCACCCCUGCGGAUAGCCGGACCAGCGCGGGGGGGAACUGAGCCGGCGUGGCUCCCGGCGCCCCCGCCCCCGGCCCACCUCGCCGGAGGACCCGGGCGUCCGCGGCGGCCGAGCCUGCUUCCCCGCCUGACUCACCUGGAGGGGGAGGGAGGGGGAAGGGAGGCCGCCGAGCCCCGAGGUCCCGGCGUCGGGCGGUCGCGGGGAUAGAGCGUCGCAGUGGCAGGGGCUCUCGGUGAUGGGGGGCUCUGGGGGGGGCACAGACUCUAGGCUGGGACGGUCCCGGGGCCUCUCGGAGCCCGCCCGCCCACGUGACCGCCCCAAAAUAUCCGACACAUUUUCUCCCAAACCGCACACUGACUCUGCAGGCGGGGACACGGAAAAUAUUUUCUUUCUUUUUCUCCCUCCCCACCCCCCCAACAUCCCUCCCAGCCUGGCUCCCUCCUCCCCCUCCCGCCCUCGCUCCUCCCUCCCCUGCCGCCUGCCCCUGCCCGGCUCCCUCCUCGGUGCCCUGAGGCUGGGGGGCGGGGGGGCGGCGGGGUGGGUGGGAGGGGGGCUGGGCGGGGCGGGCCAGGACGCCUGGGUCUCUGUCCCGCCCAUUUGCUGGGCUUCCUUGGCUCCGUCCCCGGGAGGCCGGGCAAGGCUGGCAGAAGAGGUCAGUGUCCUGGGCCCAUGAUGCUACCCUUUCUCUCUGGCACUUUUCCCCUUCCUGCCAUUUGGGGGGACUGGUUGAGUCCUCUGGCCGGGCUGUGGUUCACGGAGGCCAGUUUCCGUACCUCUGCAGGGUAGGCAGUGGGGGGCUGUAUCCACGUCCCCCCAAGGGGUGGAGUGACUGCGCAGGGAUAUGCCAGAGCGGAUGCCACUGUCUUUACCCUUCGCUUAGCCUUCACCUGCAGGUCAAAGUAGGCUCCACUUCCGCUUGUCUACCCCAGCCUGUCCUUUGGUCCCAAGAGCAAACUGGUUGAACUAGUGGAGAUUGUGCGGAUGCUAAGUCCCGGGCUUCAAGACCUCUUCCCUGUCACCCUGCCUUGAGCGGAUUCUUAACCACUGUGCCACCAGGGAAGUUCCCAAGAAAUACUUUCUGAUUGAAUAAAGGGGAAGACUUCAGAGAUGAUGGGACCUCGCCAGGUGGAGAAAAGAGAAAGGGCACUGGGAGCAGAAGGAAGAGUGGAAACAAAGGACUGGAGGCAUGAAAGUGCACAUGCUAUUUGGAGGACGUGCUCUGGUCUGGUGCCCUUGGUGGGUUCUCAGUGGAGGGGAGGGGAGCAGGCAGGCCAGGAAGCGGAGGGCUAGCUGGGGAAGUCUGAGCUGCUGCAGGCUCAGAGAGGCUCAGCAGUGGCUUAAGUUUAAUCCUGCCCACACCCCUGCUCCCCACUGUCCCCCCUCUGACCCCACCCCUGCCCUCCCCUUCACCCAACCCCCCAGCCUGGCCGCUCCUGCAGCUGAAUGGACUUCUCUCUGGGCCUACGUUUGGGGCCUCGGAACAAGAAGGCCAGCCACCAACAUCCCCCUCCACCCGCCGGGCACGGCCCACCAGCUGCCUCCCCUUGUCUGUCCUGCCCCCCCUCUCCCUGUGCCUGCCCCUGCCCUGGCUGUCCCCCUGCCACCUGCUCCUGCACUACCUAUCCCUAUUACGCAGCUCCCUGCCCCUCCUGUCCCGGCCUCCCUGGCCCACCCUGUACCUGCCCCUGCUCUCCCUGCCCUGCCUGUCCGCCCUUGACUUGUCCCCUCAGUUCCUGCAGCCCCUGCUCUGCUCCGCAUUUGACCUGCUGCCACCCCUCUCCCUGCCCCAUGUACCCUUGCUCCAGGGGUCAAGCCGCCUGUUCCAGCUCCUGCUUGGGCUGCAGUGACAGCUGUGGCCGUGGCCGGGGGGCUGCCCGGGGACCUCCAGGCUCCGCCGGCCGCUGCAGCUGCUGCUUCAGGGGACACCGCACCUCUCGACACUGUCUGAUAGUCUAGCUGGGCUGUUGCCCCUUGAGAGAUUGCCAGUCUUCCAGGACACUUCUGCAGCUGCUUCCUCAGGGAGGAGGCAGAAGCUCUGGAGGACAGAGAAGGAUCAGCUGGACCCCUCACCCAGGCAGGGAGAGGAGGCUGGCUGCUGAGAUCCCCCGGCCUCCUCCUCAGUCCCGGGACGUCUGCUUUGAAGCUAGUUUCUGGGCAUGCUCUCACUGGUUCCAGAACCUCCUCUUCUGCAACUUCUGGAAUGGAAAGUGUUCUUCUCAGAGCCUCUCCCACGGCCCCUGAAGGGUGGCCAAAUAGCUCUAAGUGGUGGAGAAAACUUCUUACUUACAGAAGAACUCCAGCUAAUGUAGAAGGAAUAUGGAAUUAGAAAAAUCACCAUUUUGCAACCCCUUAAUGAAAUAAUUGAUCAAAGCAAGAAUCGUCAAUGGAUGAAACCAAGGAUGGUGGUUGAUGGAGAACUUUACAAUGGAGGAAUAAGGCUGUCACUACCUGACCCCACUGAUGAAUCUUAGCAUCGCUAAAAAUGGCACAACCACAUGCCCUGUACCUCCUGAUGUGAUGCAAUCUGAAGCACUCAGCACCACCUGUGAAGGACUCUUGCCAAACAAAGAAACAAACAAAAAAACUGAACAUGAUUCUAAUCAAACCUCUAGAGCUAACCUCCAUUUAAUGAGAAACAUGGGGGGUGGAGGAACAUAUUAAAUGACAAAACAAGGAAGUGAGAAAACAUAUCCAGAACGUGGGACAUUCUAAAGGAGAUCUGACUGGAUUUCUUCAACUAGUCAAUGGCUGGUGGUGGUGGUGGGGAGACCUUGUUUGGUUCCUGAUUGGGACCACCCAAUUGUAAAGAGACAUUUUUAGACUGCUGGAAACAUUUAAUUAUGAACUGAGUACUUACAAUGCCAAGGAA